UACGUAGGGUGCAAGCGUUGUCCGGAAUUAUUGGGCGUAAAGAGCUCGUAGGCGGCUUGUCGCGUCGGCUGUGAAAACCCGCGGCUCAACUGUGGGCGGGCAGCUGAUACGGGCAGGCUGGAGUUCGGUAGGGGAGACUGGAAUUCCUGGUGUAGCGGUGAAAUGCGCAGAUAUCAGGAGGAACACCGGUGGCGAAGGCGGAUCUCUGGGCCAUUACUGACGCUGAGGAGCGAAAGCGUGGGGAGCGAACAGG
rnacentral:rRNA from 1 species